rnacentral:rRNA from 1 species
AUGCCACGUGCUGAUGGUCCCUUUAAGGUGUUAGAGAAAAUAAAUGAUAAUGCAUAUAAACUUGAGCUGCCUGCAGAUUUGAAGCCUUAUUUGGGUGAGGAAGAUGAACUUCCGUCGAGGACGACUUCAUUUCAAGAAGGGGAGGAUGAUGAGGACAUCAAUACAAUUGUUACACCCACAGCCCCUGCUGCUAUACAUACUGGACCAAUUACUAGAGCUCGUGCACGCCAACUAAAUUACCAGGUACUUUCGUUUCUUGGUAAUGAUUCUAAUGUUCAUGAGAAUAUGAUGCUGCCUAAAUUGGAUACAUUUGUUUUGCUUACAAAUGAAGGGCCUAGCUUGGAGAAGGAUGAGCAUUGGAGCAAGAACAAGCAUGGAGAUGAUGGCAUGCGCAAGGGGAACAAGAACGGAGUUACAAGUGAUGAUUUCAGGACUUUGAAGCCACCAUAA